rnacentral:rRNA from 1 species
CGACCGGCGCACGGGUGAGUAACGCGUAUCCAACCUACCCAAUACUCAGGCAUAACCCGUUGAAAGACGGACUAAUUCCUGAUGGUAUGUAUUUCUCUCAUGAGUUAUACAUUAAAGAAUUUCGGUAUUGGAUGGGGAUGCGUCUGAUUAGUUUGUUGGUGAGGUAACGGCUCACCAAGACUUCGAUCAGUAGGGGUUCUGAGAGGAAGGUCCCCCACAUUGGAACUGAGACGCGGUCCAA